rnacentral:rRNA from 1 species
AUGUCUUCCAUGGGGUUCAGCUAUGCACAGGUACACGUGAAGCAAGAGAGAGUGAGGAAGAGGAUCAGCGACAGCGAGAAGGCCGCGGCAACGACCACGAUGGGCAAGUCGAUGACCGGAGAACAAGAGAAGCAGAAGGAGAGUUUCAUGGGUGAAGGGGAGAAGAAGGAAGCUUGUAACUCAUGGAACACCGGGAGGGUGCAUCCAUGGGGGUCUUCUCCGGCGGCUGCGGCGCCAAAGGGUGGGCACUGA